rnacentral:rRNA from 1 species
CAAUAGCGUAUAUUAAAGUUGUUGCAGUUAAAAAGCUCGUAGUUGGAUUUGUGGCGUACGGUGUGUUCCGGGCACUUGUUGUCUGAGUAACCUGCUGUUGCCAUCCUUGGGUGGAACCUGUGUGGCAUUAGGUUGUCGUGUAGGGGAUGCCCAUCAUUUACUGUGAAAAAAUUAGAGUGUUCAAAGCAGGCUUAUGCCGUUGAAUAUAUUAGCAUGGAAUAAUGAGAUAGGACUUUUUUGCUAUUUUGUUGGUUUGCGCAAAGAGGUAAUGAUUAAUAGGGACAGUUGGGGGUAUUCGUAUUCCAUUGUCAGAGGUGAAAUUCUUGGAUUUUUGGAAGACGAACUACUGCGAAAGCAUUUACCAAGGAUGUUUUCAUUAA